UUUAAUUGAAACCAAAAUAGAGGUAUAUCACUGUUAAUGAUAUCAAUAAGAUUAAUCUUCAAUUAAAG
rnacentral:tRNA from 1 species